GCUCUGUUGCCUAGGCUUGAGUGCAGUGGCACGAUCUUGGCUCACAAAGGCAGAUUUUCUUAGAGUAUUGAAAGACAAAGUUUCUUCUCCCAGAGCAAAAGGGAAGGUGUGCUCCCUACUUAUCUUAAUAUUAUUGUUCUUGAAGCCCAGAGUUUCUCUUUUCUAACACAGCUCCCACUGCAAUGUGCAGGUAUAGCCUGGCCUUCUUGUGGGAAAUUUGGCUCAGGAACUUACAAAAGUGCUGACACUCUCACUACUGCUUUUGCUGAGAGGACACAAGACGGAAGAUAAAGAGAAACAUGGAGGGAGAGAAUGUUAUGUGCUGACCCAAAAGAUGUUACACACCAAUGGACAAAGAAGCAAAGAGAAGAACAAACACCUUGCCGUAAAGGGAAAUAUCGUCACUAAAAUAAAAAUGCACUGAAGAGAGUUUCAAGAUUGUACAUUACAGGUAAAUAAUGCUCCGGCUACAAGUCCAGGCACCUAAUAGAGGGGUGCAUGCUCAUGAGUAGCUCAGAGGACCUCAUGCUCAUGGCCACAGAGAUUGGUCCAGAAAAAGGCACAUGCACAUAAACCAGGUGUCUGUACUUUAUUCAUCAAUGACCUAAACUAAAACUAUUACAGAGCUGCAGAGAAUUUUCUGAGUGGAGAGAACCACACAAUGUCUUUAACUUUUGGGGGAAGAAUCAAGAGCUCUAAGACAAAUCACUUUAUGCACCUAUCUCUACAGUCUUUGCAUACAUGGCCUACUUUUAUUACCCCUUCUCUUUUUGAGGUAACCAGGUAUCCAGGUUAAUCACGCUACCCUUGGUUAUCAUCACAUGUAUUUCUGAAAUUGUCUUUUACAUAUAUCUUUUUACUUGUUAAUGUAAGACAUAAGAACAGCCUUUAUCUUGUUGAUUAUGGUAAUUAGCACAUAGUAAUUUCUCAAUAAAAAUAUGUUGGAAAGUAAAUGUUUAAGUACUGUUUUAUGUGUAAUUGACUCAGAACGGUAAUUAAUUCAAAAGUUUAUAUCAUAGAUUGCUGUAAUUUGUUUUUUUCUUUAUUUUCUCUUUUCUUGGGAAGGAAAAAAAAUUCUUACCUAAAAGGUGGCAUCUUUUCUGGUAAUAUUUUAGUCAAUGUGGCACCUGAGAGGAGAGAAUUUAGGCAAAUAGAUUUCCAUAAAAUUUCUCAAAUCCAACAAUGUAGACCUCCUGUGCCUAACUUAUUAGUGUCUCGGGGUUAAAUAUUUAAAAUGGCCAUUUCUGCUACAUUUUCAAGUCUAUUCUGGAGUUCCACGGUUUUCAGAUAAAGAGAAGAGAGAAGAUAGCAAAGAAUGGGUACUCUUGAAAUCACCAUAAAAAACUGUAGGCCUAUCCAGCUUUGGGAUUGUGGGAACUGGACAUAUUUAACAGUUCGUACCACUGAUCUGGUCUAGUACCAACUGUUUGAGAAACUUUUAGAACAUGUCUGCAAUUUACCAUUGUAGCUCUGUUCUCCUAUUCUUUCAAAGGUUUAGGUUAGUGAUACUUCACUAGUGUAACACAUUCUAGAUUAUUUUUGUUUCUGUCAUAAGUCUAAUGCCGCAAAUUGCUAUGCAUCUCAUUUUCAUUCUCAGUUUGUACAACUAAAUUGAGUAGUUGAGAACUUCCUUGCAUCUCUUAAGAAAAUUCUUUACUUCCCAUUGUGCUCAGAAUAAAAUCAAAGUUCAUUUUCAUCACCUGUAAAGCCACAGCUACUUCUCCAUUAAAUGAAUGAAAACAAACAAAUACAAAGUCUUUUGACUAUGAAGUCUAUAUGUUUAAAAUCUUCUUUUCCAAUCCUGGUAAUUGAUUAUAUGGAGUCAAAUAAGCCAUAGCAAUUAAGCUCCAGAAUUCACUGGGGAAAGAAAAAGGGAACUGACUUUUACUGAACAUCUACCAUACUCAAUUAGUGUCAGGAACGUUUGCGUACACAUCAACCUUGUGAGGCAGGUGUUAUCAUUCUCAUUUUCCGGUUAGGCUAAUUGGGAAUCAUAGUGGUUGACUGAUUUUUCAAGUUAACUAGGUGAGAAGUAAAAGAGCAUGAAUUCAAUCCUAGAUAGGUUUGAAGAGCCAAAAUUUAUGAAAUUGAAAUGUAUUAUCUUACAGGUAUAGCCAGUGUUUAUAAUACAAAGUGUUUGAUACUUUUUCAAGAAGCUUAUGAUACAGUGGAGAAAGUAACUCCUAUGUAAAUAUCUCUGGCCUACAGAACAAAGGUUGCAACUGCCAUGAACAAAGAGAGGGAAAGUUGCUAAAUCCUGAAGAAGCUGGGGUGGGGGUGGGAGUCAGAUGUUAGCUAGGGAAAGGUUCCUGGAGGAAGCACUAGUCUAGUUAGGUCUUAAAGGAUGAGUAGUACUAGAAUAUUCAGAGGUGGGAGAGAAUGGAUUUCUAGUCUGGCAUAGUAAAGCCUGGCAUAUAGAGGGUGCCAUGAAAGAGAAUAGUUAUUAAAGAGGAACUUCAUCCAUGGGUAAAGAUAAACUAAUUCCAAAUUAGGAAGUUUCUUUGAAGAUGGCAUUAAGUAGGGAUUACUCCUGAAAGAGGGGUCAUCACUAGGAGAACUCUACCCAUAUACAUGGUAGAGUUGCAGAAAUGAGACUCUUUCUGGCAAAGUACAAAAGUACACCUGAAAUGAGUUGACUCAGAUUUGCAUAUGGAAAUAGGCAGCUUUGGUACAAUUGAAAUCAUUAAAAGGAUUCCUUUCUCAGCUGUGGGUAUUUUCAUCUCCAUGUCCAACUGUUGGGGGAAGGAAGUGUCUUACUGCUUUCAUUAGUCCGUUCUGGGGCACCCUAAGAAGGGAAGAGUGCAAAUAGGCAGGGAUAGAGGUGGCGCGUUUCACAAUUCUCCCGUAAUGCUCAAAUCCUACCACAUUAUUCACCCUAGGAAAGAAGCACCUGAGAUUUCCUCAUAUAAACCAUGAGAGCAACUGCCCUUUGAUGCCUCUAUGGCUUCCAAGAUCACAUCAUUCUGUUGCUGUGACAAAGGCUGGUGAGAAAAGAAAAUUUGGGUAUCUGAAUGCUGGUUUUCAUGUGUCUUAUGUAUUAACCACCUCCUUCAAGUUGUAUACCCUGCCUUUCUUACUGGUUUGCUCCCUGUGGUUUUGAGAAACCUCUGUCUAUUCUUCUUCUGAUGCUACUGUGAAUGUGUAGCAUUUUGAUUUGCUGAUCACAUUCUUCCUCGUCACAGUGGCCAGUAUUUGGUUGUCUCUAUGAUUCUGGUUUUGCUCUGCCUGCACUGAGAGGUACAGAUGAGUGCCAUAAAUGAGGUUCUUUUCCUCCCUUCAGAACUUUUUGAUUUGGAACAAUAAAGACUCUAAUCUUCGGGUGACAUCUUUAGAUAUAGUGUCUGUUUUCUGAAUUCAACCCUUGUUUCUCACUUUAUUUCUGUCUCAUAUGUUUAGCCUUUCAUUUUCUCAAUAGCUUUUGAAAUAUUUAUGAUGUCUGGAACCCGUUUCUUAGUACUUGCUUCAUGAACAUUCAAAAAGUGCUGUCAUGCUGUGGUAACAAAAAUGUGGAAAAAGAUGUCCA
rnacentral:lncRNA from 10 species